UGGCUUGCAAGGGGAAGUGGACAAAUUGUUGAUGGUGAUAAAUCAAUUGUGUAUAGUCACAAAGACCUUACUCAGCAAGGGUGAUUAUCCAGUUGUGUAUUUAGGAAGAUUUUGUAUGGUGCUAUUGGUAGGUGGGUUUGGGGCUUACCCAAAGAUUUUCUGUAUUUUCCAGCCAUUGACUUGUGAUCAUUUGCAGUCUUCACAUUAUUCUGUAUUAACAUAGUUAUGUUGUUGCAUAGGUUUUAACUUGCAGGACUAACUUGUCCCAAUUAUAAUAAUAUCG
rnacentral:misc_RNA from 1 species